UACGUAGGGUGCAAGCGUUAAUCGGAAUUACUGGGCGUAAAGCGUGCGCAGGCGGUCCGUUAAGACCGAUGUGAAAUCCCCGGGCUUAACCUGGGAACUGCAUUGGUGACUGGCAGGCUUUGAGUGUGGCAGAGGGGGGUAGAAUUCCACGUGUAGCAGUGAAAUGCGUAGAGAUGUGGAGGAAUACCGAUGGCGAAGGCAGCCCCCUGGGCCAACACUGACGCUCAUGCACGAAAGCGUGGGGAGCAAACAGG
rnacentral:rRNA from 1 species